rnacentral:rRNA from 1 species
GAUGAACGCUGGCGGCGUGCCUAAUACAUGCAAGUCGAGCGCACGGACGAGAAGCUUGCUUCUCUGAUGUUAGCGGCGGACGGGUGAGUAACACGUGGAUAACCUACCUAUAAGACUGGGAUAACUUCGGGAAACCGGAGCUAAUACCGGAUGAUAUUUUGAACCGCAUGGUUCAAAAGUGAAAGACGGUCUUGCUGUCACUUAUAGAUGGAUCCGCGCUGCAUUAGCUAGUUGGUAAGGUAACGGCUUACCAAGGCAACGAUGCAUAGCCGACCUGAGAGGGUGAUCGGCCACACGGGAACUGAGACACGGUCCAGACUCCUACGGGAGGCAGCAGUAGGGAAUCUUCCGCAAUGGGCGAAAUCCUGACGGAGCAACGCCGCGUGAGUGAGGAAGGUCUUCGGAUCGUAAAACUCUGUUAUUAGGGAAGAACAUAUGUGUAAGUAACUGUGCACAUCUUGACGGUACCUAAUCAGAAAGCCACGGCUAACUACGUG